GCCGGAGUGAAGGACCAAAGGGAUUCCAGCUGCUGCCGCCAUGGAGCUCCAGCCGUAGUGCGCUUCCAGCUUUCUGGAGCUGUAGAUCUGUAGGUGCCCAGGAAGACUGGCUGCUCCAUUCACAAUGACAAGUUGGCCCAUUCAGAUAGGCCUCCGCUGUGCUGUGAGGAUUUCUGUGCACUUGCCUGGGGCUUUGGUUAACUGUUAGAUGAAUAAAUAAACAACAAGAAUGGAUAAAAACAUACAAAACAAGUUCAAUCAAAAGUGGGAGGCAGACCUGUUAGCAGAAAGACCCCUGAAUGUAUUCUUGCUCUCCAUAUCAUCUUACUGAUAGAAGCAGUUACACAGUAUUACAGUUUCUGGUAGAGGUGCACAAUGCUGGAUUUGGGUUGCUUGUCUUCCUGGAACAGGAUCCUCUUCAAGCAUUUGGUGUUGAACUGCUCAAACCUGUUGGAACUGCGACUCUAAGAUGGAAAAUGAUUUCCCACAGAAGUCCUUCAAAGUUAGUUUAGAUUGCACAAAAACGUCGAGGGUGUCCCUCUGCUGGUGUCCACACUUAGUCUCUCAUCUGCUUCAUGGAGUUUCAGCUGGACAAGUGGGGGAGAGAUCUUAAGUAAGCAGCGCACUUGUUGAAGGCAGAAGACACACACUUACCAAUGGAUCUCCAGAACAAGCAGAGGAUUAGUAUGGAGGUGAUGUCCUGGAUGGUGGACACGCCUAUGAAGAUCAGAGUCUUGCUCACACUGCUUCAGAUCUUCAGGAAGUACUUGAUGGUGGUGUUGGACAUCUCUCAUGACAGCUUCCACUUACUACUUCAUAGUCAAAGCACAGGUCAUAAUGCUAUGAAGAGAAUGGUACAGACUUUUCAGAGGGGUGCUAUGCACCUGUUUUAAAGCCCAUGUGUCUUUUUAGGUUUUGAGAUUCCUUUAAAGUGAUCUUUCUUGUGUCAUUUUAGUGUAAGAGCUUGGAAGGAAGAUGGUAGGUUUUGCUAUUAAGUUCCAAAUUACAUCGAAAUAGCCCACAAAGGAGUAAUACACACACCAGUCUUAAGGCUGAGGUUCAUACAACUAAAUGGUUUGGGAUUUUACAGGAGAUUUUGCUGCUUUGGGCUAAUCCAAGACCAUUUUAGCAGUUUCCUUUGCCAAGGUUAAUAUUAUGUUUUGGUCCUGGGUCAAAAGAAGGGCAAUGUCUGUUCUGAGCCAGGGUAGUGCAACGGGCUAUUCACAGAUAACUAUUAUGCGUUUCCACUCACAUAGUGUUUUGUGUUACAUGUCAAAAUCUUUCUGGCCGUAAGGGCAACUAUGAUUAGUGUUGCUCAGAUUACCAAUGAAUGACUGAAGAAGAAUUUGAUGGACCGUGAGUUUACCAAGAUCUCCAUCUUGAGUGGAUGCUGCACAAAAAGGCUACUGCAAAAAAGGUUGUUGCAUAUCAGUUUGGCACAGUAAGAGGAAGUCAGAUGUUGGUUAACCAUAUCCUGAAACAGAAUUUGAAAUGCUACACAAAAGGAUAUUCCAGUCAUACUUCCUUAACAGAACAACCAAAGUCUGUCUUUUCUUUUGUAUGGCAUGAAUUCUGUUUCUAGUUUGGCAUUAUUGUAAAAGUAUAUGGAAUUUCACAGAGGAAACAGCUUGGAUUUCUGCAUCUUUCUUAACAUGUGAUCUGAUUUUCAUCAACAUCAUAACA